AGUGAACGCUGGCGGUAGGCCUAACACAUGCAAGUCGAACGGCAGCACAGGAGAGCUUGCUCUCUGGGUGGCGAGUGGCGGACGGGUGAGGAAUACAUCGGAAUGUACUCUGUCGUGGGGGAUAACGUAGGGAAACUUACGCUAAUACCGCAUACGACCUACGGGUGAAAGCAGGGGACCUUCGGUCCUUGCGCGAUUGAAUGAGCCGAUGUCGGAUUAGCUAGUUGGCGGGGUAAAGGCCCACCAAGGCGACGAUCCGUAGCUGGUCUGAGAGGAUGAUCAGCCACACUGGAACUGCGACACGGUCCAGACUCCUACGGGGGGCAGCAGUGGGGAAUAUUGCACAAUGGGCGCAAGCCUGAUCCAGCCAUACCGCGUGUGUGAAGAAGGCCUUCGGGUUGUAAAGCCCUUUUGUUGGGAAAGAAAUCCAGCUGGCUAAUACCCGGUUGGGAUGACGGUACCCAAAGAAUAAGCACCGGCUAACUCCGUGCCAGCAGCCGCCGUAA
rnacentral:rRNA from 1 species